UCCGAUUUGUCACCGGCAGUCUCAUUAGAGUGCUCAACUGAAUGUAGCAACUAAUGACAAGGGUUGCGCUCGUUGCGGGACUUAACCCAACAUCUCACGACACGAGCUGACGACAGCCAUGCAGCACCUGUGUUCCCGUUCCCUUUCGGGCACACCCGGCUUUCACCGGGCUUCCGUACAUGUCAAGGGUAGGUAAGGUUUUUCGCGUUGCAUCGAAUUAAUCCACAUCAUCCACCGCUUGUGCGGGUCCCCGUCAAUUCCUUUGAGUUUUAAUCUUGCGACCGUACUCCCCAGGCGGAGUGCCUCACGCGUUAGCUGCGGCACCGACAUGCAUGCAUGCCGACGCCUAGCACUCAUCGUUUACAGCGUGGACUAC
rnacentral:misc_RNA from 1 species